rnacentral:lncRNA from 1 species
UAUUGAAGAUGAUUUAAGUUGCUAACGAUCAAAUCUUAUGUGCUACGUAUCCCUCGUGUGCUACGUAUCCACACAAAUUUGAUUCUGAAUGUGUAUUGAAGAUGAUUUAAGUUGCUAACAAAAUAGGUCUACUUGUUUUGUUCUAAUCAUACUGUUUAGCAACUAAUCAUAUCCUAUUGGGUCCACUCAUCCAUGGUAUCAAGAAAAUUAAGUGGAAUUGUUUAUUAAAAAGCAAGCUCCAGAAGUGUGCAUGUGCUUUGAGUCGGGGAGUAGGGAGGAUUGGUGAUGCAUAUAAAAAGAAUAUUCACUGCCUUAAGCAGGGAUCAAAUCAGCUUGUGUAAAAUACAUUUGAUCCCAUUGUUCAAUGGGCACGCUGUUCUCAUAAUGAAUAAGAAAACUAAAUCAAUGCACUCCAAGUUUACAGCCCUAAUAUAAACACCUGGAAGCGUCAAAAAAAUUGCCCUCCUUAAGAAGGGAUUAUUUCCUACUUAUAGGAAAUUAUUCGCAUUUCUCACAUUUUAUUAUCACUUGCAUUUAAUAUUUCUAAUCAACGAUGACUUCACUUCUUAAUGAGGUUCCUGAUCACAUAGGGAAGAAUGCCUCCAUGGUUAAAGUACUCCAAUUCCACCUGAAAAUAUGGGCAGGUUAACAAACUGGCGCAAGGAAAGAUAUAAAUUUCUGAGACAAGUUUUUCAAAAUGCUGAAUAAAUGCUCUAUCCUGAGAAAUCCCAAUGAUGGAUCACAUUAGGAUAUAAGUUGCAUCAGCAAAACACAUACA